UGAGCUUUGAUCCUGGCUCAGGAUGAACGCUAGCGGCAGGCUUAACACAUGCAAGUCGAGGGGUAUAGUUCUUCGGAGCUAGAGACCGGCGCACGGGUGCGUAACGCGUAUGCAAUCUACCUUUUACAGAGGGAUAGCCCAGAGAAAUUUGGAUUAAUACCUCAUAGUAUAUAGACCUGGCAUCAGGAUUAUAUUAAAGUCACAACGGUAAAAGAUGAGCAUGCGUCCCAUUAGCUAGUUGGUAAGGUAACGGCUUACCAAGGCUACGAUGGGUAGGGGUCCUGAGAGGGAGAUCCCCCACACUGGUACUGAGACACGGACCAGACUCCUACGGGAGGCAGCAGUGAGGAAUAUUGGACAAUGGGCGCAAGCCUGAUCCAGCCAUGCCGCGUGCAGGAUGACGGUCCUAUGGAUUGUAAACUGCUUUUAUACGAGAAGAAACAUCCCGACGUGUC
rnacentral:rRNA from 1 species